CAGUCGCCGCGGGAAAACGUAGGUGGCAAGCGUUGUCCGGAAUUAUUGGGCGUAAAGGGCUCGCAGGCGGUUUCUUAAGUCUGAUGUGAAAGCCCCCGGCUCAACCGGGGAGGGUCAUUGGAAACUGGGAAGCUUGAGUGCAGAAGAGGAGAGUGGAAUUCCACGUGUAGCGGUGAAAUGCGUAGAGAUGUGGAGGAACACCAGUGGCGAAGGCGACUCUCUGGUCUGUCACUGACGCUGAGGAGCGAAAGCGUGGGGAGCGAACAGGAUUAGAUACCCCAGUAGUCCCUGUCUCUUAUAC
rnacentral:rRNA from 1 species